UACGAAGGGGGCUAGCGUUGCUCGGAAUGACUGGGCGUAAAGGGCGCGUAGGCGGAGUGCUUUGUCAGGCGUGAAAUUCCAGGGCUUAACCUUGGGGCUGCGUUUGAGACGGGCAUUCUUGAGUAUGGAAGAGGGUCGUGGAAUUCCCAGUGUAGAGGUGAAAUUCGUAGAUAUUCGCAAGAACACCAGUGGCGAAGGCGGCUCACUGGCCCGAUACUGACGCUGAGGCACGAAAGCGUGGGGAGCAAACAGG
rnacentral:rRNA from 1 species